GUUGCCGUGGAUAUCUAUGGCUCGUCUGAAAUGCUUCAGUGUACCCCGCAGAGCGGCGUAUUCGGUGUGAUACAUCUUCACCGGAGUUGAUCCUUUACGGGUCGCGUCUGUAAUGUGUGGCUCUAUGCUUCCAACCGUCUUGAUAGGACAAUCUUUGACAAUUCGACCUCAAAUCGGGUGGGACUACCCGCUGAACUUAA
rnacentral:misc_RNA from 1 species